rnacentral:rRNA from 1 species
UACAGAGGCCUCGAGCGUUGUUCGGAAUUACUGGGCGUAAAGGGAAUGUAGGUGGUCAUGUAAGUCAGAUGUGAAAGCCCUAGGCUUAACCUGGGAAGUGCAUUUGAUACUGCGUGGCUGGAGUGCGAGAGAGGAAAGCGGAAUUCCAGGUGUAGGAGUGAAAUCCGUAGAUAUCUGGAGGAAUACCGAUGGCGAAGGCAGCUUUCUGGCUCGUAACUGACGCUGAGGCGCGAAAGCUAGGGGAGCAAACGGG